GUCUGCUGCACGUCGAGCCCGCGCCACCGCGCCAGCAGCCGCCACAAGAGGUUCAUUGAUUCGGCCGCGUGACGUCAAGAAUGUCGCUUGUUGUCGCGGUGUCUGUCGCAUUCCGACACUUAUUUCUAUUAGUUUUAGGGUUCAUUUUGCCGGGCACACGGCCUUUUGUUACAGCUUACGCUUUCUGUGCAGUGUUGCCAGCUGACUCCUCUUCAUGUAUCACAGUGUUUUCACUUUUUGCCAUUUAAAAUUAUUAAUACAAGGAAUAUUAAAUUUGUUUAAGUUGAACUGACCCAAAAAAAAAUUAUUAACUCCAUUUUUUUUUCGAUUGAAAUUUUGGGUAAUUCUUUAAAAUUAUUUGUUAACUGGUAACACUGAACUCAGCCGAUUGGUGAAAACGCCAUCUUGUAUUGAAUCUCUAUGAUUUUGCAUUUUUUUUUAUUAAGAUAUAUAGCGGUGUUGAAAUUUUAUUCGAUUUUAUAUAUAGGAAAACUUUGUCUUUCUAUAUUGUUGACUAAUUUUAGACUUUGGGGCGAUGGGAAUAUGGACGCUUUUUAACCGUUGAGGCUAUUUGUUUUUAGUUUGCUCGUUUUAAUACGCUUUGGCCCGGUACUGUGAUUGUAAUUGGAUAUUUGAAAACUAACAGAGUUGUAUAUUAAAAGUUUUUUUCUCUAGUCUAUUAGAUGUUAUUAGAGAUGCAUAAUAUAACUUUGUUUCAUGUUUUUAAUAGAUAUUUUAUAUAUUCUAUGCAUUCUUCCAUAUUGUUCACUAUAUUUUAGUGGUUUUGUAGUAAAGUCUUGAAUAUUAAAAAAAACUUUUAAGGUGCUUUUGAGCAUUGGAGUCCAAAUCGUAUUUAGAAAUUGUUGUGGAUUUGAUUAGUAUAUAAGAUUUAUUUAUUUUUCUUUUUGUAAAAAAAAAGUAGUUUGGACUCCGGUGGCCUUUCUCGUUGUAUAUUUGUGCCAACUCCGAAUAUGGAUUAAAAUAGAGUAUAGUUUUGUAGUGUUGGCAAUUAUUGAUUUAAAUAUACGCAGAGGUUGACAAAUGUAUGUCUGUCUCUCUCCCUCCUGUUAGUAUUCAUAUCUUUGUCCUUUUCACUUGACCAUUCGUUGAACGAGUUGGUGGAAUGGAAUGUGUCAAUGACUUGUUAAAUUAUUUUAAUGCCUUGGCUCUUGUUUUUACUCUUCAUUUAAUUCUUCUCUCUCUGUCUCUUUGUCUAAUUGUCUAUGGAAUGUCUACAGUUUUGUCUUUGAUUCUGUCUUAGUCAGAUUAAUUUUCUUGGCCAUUUCAAAACUAUUUUUCUGAGCCUUUGUGUUUAAUUUAAUUUUAUAAAGGGUUUUAAGAUUUUUUUUUUUAAAUUUAGUAUAGAAACUUAUGCGCCAUUUUUUAUUGUAGAGAACAAUAUUAGGUUGUGAUGAAAAGAAACACUUUAUAGUAACAAUAUAUAUAUAUGUUAUUUUAAGAUGUAGGGCGCCAUUUAAAAAAAAUUAGACUGCAAUUGAAUUUUGUAGAAUUUAUUAAAGUGGGAGAGAGACGACAAAUGUUGACGCCAUCUUGCGUAUAUUUAAGUAUUUGUUUAAUAAAUUUUAGAGCUAACUUAAACAUAUCGAAUGUGUGAACGAACGUAUAGAUAUUUUUAUUAAAAGCCUAUUUGAGAUUUAUGUGAAAUUUAUUUUUUCAGUAUUAAAAUUAGUUAAGACUCGAAAAAUGAUUUUGCAUAAGAUUAAAUUGUUUAAAAUAAAACUAAUGUUAUGUGUUCGCGAAAUGGAUUUUGAAAGAAAUUACUUUGGAAUCUUUUCGUGGAUGCAAUAUAAAUUUUUAUACAUAGAGAUAUUUUUCGAAAUUUUUCCGUUGAAUAUUUGCAAUAUAUUUUUAAUAAAUACGAUUUACUGUAAGCUUUAUUUUUCAUCACCGUCUAUUUACGCACAUUUAAAAUUAUAUAUAAACUUUGCGUUUAAACUUAACACUUACGUUGGUAUGGCAAGCGUGGAUGAGCGAUUUUUUUUUGGUUUUGUAUUUUUUUUUUUAAAUAAAUAUAUUUAACACUUU